UACGUAGGGGGCGAGCGUUGUCCGGAUUUAUUGGGCGUAAAGAGCUCGUAGGCGGCUUGUCGCGUCGUUCGUGAAAACCUGCAGCUCAACUGCAGGCUUGCGGUCGAUACGGGCAGGCUGGAGUUCGGUAGGGGAGACUGGAAUUCCUGGUGUAGCGGUGAAAUGCGCAGAUAUCAGGAAGAACACCAACGGCGAAGGCAGCUCGCUGGGACGGUACUGACGCUGAGACGCGAAAGCGUGGGGAGCGAACAGG
rnacentral:rRNA from 1 species